ACUCCUGCGGGAGGCAGCAGUAGGGAAUCUUCGGCAAUGGGGGCAACCCUGACCGAGCAACGCCGCGUGAGUGAAGAAGGUUUUCGGAUCGUAAAGCUCUGUUGUAAGUCAAGAACGAGUGUGAGAGUGGAAAGUUCACACUGUGACGGUAGCUUACCAGAAAGGGACGGCUAACUACGUGCCAGCAGCCGCGGUAAUACGUAGGUCCCGAGCGUUGUCCGGAUUUAUUGGGCGUAAAGCGAGCGCAGGCGGUUUGAUAAGUCUGAAGUUAAAGGCUGUGGCUCAACCAUAGUUCGCUUUGGAAACUGUCAAACUUGAGUGCAGAAGGGGAGAGUGGAAUUCCAUGUGUAGCGGUGAAAUGCGUAGAUAUAUGGAGGAACACCGGUGGCGAAAGCGGCUCUCUGGUCUGUAACUGACGCUGAGGCUCGAAAGCGUGGGGAGCGAACAGGAUUAGAUACCCCAGUAGUCCCA
rnacentral:rRNA from 1 species